rnacentral:rRNA from 1 species
UGGGGAAUAUUGCACAAUGGGCGCAAGCCUGAUGCAGCCAUGCCGCGUGUGUGAAGAAGGCCUUCGGGUUGUAAAGCACUUUCAGCGGGGAGGAAGGCGUUAAGGUUAAUAACCUUGGCGAUUGACGUUACCCGCAGAAGAAGCACCGGCUAACUCCGUGCCAGCAGCCGCGGUAAUACGGAGGGUGCAAGCGUUAAUCGGAAUUACUGAGCGUAAAGCGCACGCAGGCGGUCUGUCAAGUCGGAUGUGAAAUCCCCGGGCUCAACCUGGGAACUGCAUUCGAAACUGGCAGGCUAGAGUCUUGUAGAGGGGGGUAGAAUUCCAGGUGUAGCGGUGAAAUGCGUAGAGAUCUGGAGGAAUACCGGUGGCGAAGGCGGCCCCCUGGACAAAGACUGACGCUCAGGUGCGAAAGCGUGGGGAGCAAACAGG